rnacentral:rRNA from 1 species
GACGAACGCUGGCGGCGUGCCUAACACAUGCAAGUCGAGCGAAUGAGGUUCCUUCGGGACUGGAUUUAGCGGCGGACGGGUGAGUAACACGUGGGCAACCUGCCUCAUAGAGGGGAAUAGCCUCCCGAAAGGGAGAUUAAUACCGCAUAAGAUUGUAGUACCGCAUGAUACAGCAAUUAAAGGAGCAAUCCGCUAUGAGAUGGGCCCGCGGCGCAUUAGCUAGUUGGUGAGGUAAUGGCUCACCAAGGCGACGAUGCGUAGCCGACCUGAGAGGGUGAUCGGCCACAUUGGGACUGAGACACGGCCCAGACUCCUACGGGAGGCAGCAGUGGGGAAUAUUGCACAAUGGGGGAAACCCUGAUGCAGCAACGCCGCGUGAGUGAUGACGGCCUUCGGGUUGUAAAGCUCUGCCUUCAGGGACGAUAAUGACGGUACCUGAGGAGGAAGCCACGGCUAACUACGUG